AUUUUGCAAGAAUUAGUACAAAAGUGGGAUUUUGUAGGGUAACAAUCAUUGCCUUCUAAUGAAGUUAUGGUCCAUUGAUUCUACAUUUUUUUAUUAACCUGUUUUAAUUCUAAGUCAUAAUAGGUAAAGUUAUAGCUUUUGUUUACUAUAUUUAUUUAUGUGCCAGGUUAGAGUACCAUUGCUUCUACCUUUCCCUCCUUUCUUUUUUAAUUCUAUUUUAUUCUGGGUCUGUCUUUUCCCCAUGUUAAUUUUUGUUGUUUCAAAGUAGGCAAUAUUUUCAACCAUUGCUCAUUUUAUAUUCAUUAUUGUUUCAGAAGCCUGUCGAAGUAAAUGCUGAAACGAAACAGGAUUUGAAAAGUUUUAAGCUUAUAUUGGAAUAUAUAAAAGCCUUGCCUGUAAGUGUUGAACUACAGUUUACUCUUCAUUAUAUAGCAUGAACUUCUCUCUUACACACUCGCUCCCUCACUGACACGACUUCAUCAAUGCCAUUCUUGAAAACAUUACGGUAUUUUGUUUUAUGGUGCAAUUUGCAUAGAGGAGUAAUUGAAUCUAUUUUGUUUUCUGGUGCAAUUUUUUAUGAUAUUUUGCAAGUGGUAUGUCUCUAUUCUAAAUGUUUGUUUCUUUCCUGUUUGGCUGGAACUGAUGACUGAUAGGAGCGUCAAAUAAUAAUGCUUUUCAAAUGCAAGCGGAGAAUCAAUUGCUUUCGCCACUCGUUCCUGUUCGUCAAUUGAGCUUCCUCAGGUUGCUGGUCCAUCAUGGGCACCCUUUGCUUCUUGGAUCACUGGUUGAAAUGAAAUUUUGUGAUUU